GAGGAAAGAGAAAAGAAGAAGGGAAUGGAAAGGAAAGGGAAAAAGAGAGGAAAGAGGGUUUUGAGAUGAGAGACUUUUUUGGUGACUCCCCUCUUCUUUUUCUUUGUCUCCAAUCGGAAUUGAUUAAAAGGACAAGACUGAAAG
rnacentral:ribozyme from 13 species